UGCUGGGAUUAUAGGCAUGAGACACUACACCUGGUCAGUAUCAUUAUCUUGGCCAUUUUAUGGUUAAGGGAAUAUAGACCUGGCAAGUUUCUAUAUCUUGUUCCAGAUCACAUAGCUAGUAAGCUUUGAGGCUCAUCCUAGGGUCACUGCUGGAAUAACCUGCAUUUUUCUACUGUACCGCAUGUAUUCUUCUGCUAAUUUUCUUACUGAGAGAGAAGGUAGUUCUUCUAAGUAUCGUAUCAUCCAAAAGUUGCUUAACUAAGAGCUCCAGCAUCUGAAUCCCUGAGCAUACUUCUUUUCCCAUGCAUCAUACCUGUUUCCCAUUCUCUGAAUAAUUCUGAAUUGUGAGCAAAUGUUCUUACAAAAUAAAGAAGAGAGUAUGUACCUGCAGCAUUGUCUUAAUGCAGAGGAUCUUAAGAAUAGCUCUGGAGCCAUGCAGGGAUCAUGGGCAGCCCUGUUAUAUAAGCCCAGCUCUUCUGCUUUUCUUGAAUUCCUGGGCUCAAGUGAUCUUCCCGCCUUGGCCUCCCAGAGUGCUGAGGUUGCAGGUAUGUGCCAUGUGCCUGGCCUGUUCCUCUUUAUCUCUUUGUAUUGAGAGGUUCUUGAGAAGCAUUUCCAUCUGCUUCCCAUCAUUUUCUCCCAUGUGCAGACUGGGUUAAAAGACCUUGAGGAAUCCCCGCUUUACGAAGCCUUAUCCAUGAGAGGACAAGGAGACCCUUGGUUUGUGGAUUCAGCUUUCACGGUCAUUGCCAUUAGUUGCCACCACUUCUAGGAGAGAUUGUUUCACUCGAUGCUGACCUGGAAAAUCCUGGUAGAGAUACAGGAACUCAUAGGACUUGGUCCCCACAACCUCAUGCCAGUAAGUGUGACAGACAGGCUCCCGUCUGCAUGAGGUGCUGCACAGUGCCUUUGUGAAUCUUCUGUCACUGUCUUCAUCCCCACCCCAGCCUGCUCACCUCUUCCCCUGUACUCCACAGCCAGCAGGCCAGUUUCGCCUGGUGGACCGUUUCCCCCACUUCACCUGCUGUGCCUCAUCUACUUCCUCCUGUCUGUUCUGGUGAAGCCUCCCGCGUCUUUUCUUGUGGUAAUGCCCGUUUCUGCCUCUCUAGACUUCUGCCAGUGUUUUUGUAUUUGACUUUUGAAAUUCGACUCAGACCUCCAAAUGAGGCCUGAGUCAACCCUAGCUUUUGGCGAGCUCACACCAUUUAUGGUGGGGGCCUGGCUGGUCACCUGCUCAUCUUAAAACCUGCCUUUCCUUGUGGAACUGUGUUUUCAACGAGGUUCUGACUGCUAAGCACUCAAGGCUGUGUACACUCAACGGUUGGGCUGUUGGAGGUCUCCCCAUGAGAACUUUAUUACAGAAUGGAUUAUGGAGCCUGGAAACGGAAGGUGGCCCAGUGAGGAAUGGUACUGCAUUCUCAGUCUCUGGGAGACCUGAGGCAGGGGAGCAGCAGGAGAGGAGGGAGGAGUGAGAAAGGCUUGUUAAAGGCUCUUGGAAGGAGAAGAGCCAGGGGAAAGGAGAAUGGUAACUGGGAAAUGGGCUAACCUCAGACCUACCUUUAGGGGACGCCUGAUUCGAGGGCCCAAGACCUCAAGCUCUCAGAAACUGGUAAGAAUUAUGCUCUCCCAGGUCCCAGUGAGGUGACUGUAGGUAACAGGCCCUUAGCAGAGGUGGCUGGGUUAAUCCCAGUCGGCUGCUUUUAUCUUUUAUUUUAUCGGCUCUUAGAAAGUAUGGUGCUCCUUCUGAGAGGACUCUUUAACAUUGCAGUGGGCCAAUCACUUUAUAUCAUUAUCUCAUAAUUAUUAUAUUACAUUACAUUAUAUUAUGACAAUUCCUGUUUUGUAAGUGAGUAACUGAAGCUCAGUUACGUAGCCUGUCCAUGGUCACAGUGGAACAUGAACCCAGUUUGUGAUGUCAAAGCAUUUCCAUCUUUAUGGCAAGCCUUCGUAGGAAUCAAAAGAAGCUUAUAAAAGUAGGAGAAGUUACCUUAUCCUCUUUCCCCAUUCAGAAUUUGGGCUGCGGCCAGGUGCAGUGGCUCACGCCUGUAAUCCCAGCAUUUUGGGAGGCCGAAGUGGGCAGAUCAUGAGGUCGAGAGAUCGAGACCAUCCGGGCCAACAUGGUGAAACCCUGUCUGAACCAAAAA
ensembl:lncRNA